rnacentral:rRNA from 1 species
CAGCCGCCGCGGGAAUACCGAGGGUGCAAGCGUUAAUCGGAAUUACUGGGCGUAAAGCGCGCGUAGGUGGUUUGUUAAGUUGGAUGUGAAAUCCCCGGGCUCAACCUGGGAACUGCAUCCAAAACUGGCAAGCUAGAGUAUGGUAGAGGGUGGUGGAAUUUCCUGUGUAGCGGUGAAAUGCGUAGAUAUAGGAAGGAACACCAGUGGCGAAGGCGACCACCUGGACUGAUACUGACACUGAGGUGCGAAAGCGUGGGGAGCAAACAGGAUUAGAUACCCGCGUAGUCCCUGUCUCUUAUAC